rnacentral:rRNA from 1 species
UCGGGAAUUUUGGGCAAUGGGCGAAAGCCUGACCCAGCAACGCCGCGUGAGGGAUGAAGUAUUUCGGUAUGUAAACCUCGAAAGAAUGGGAAGAAUAAAUGACGGUACCAUUUAUAAGCUCCGGCUAACUACGUGCCAGCAGCCGCGGUAAUACGUAGGGAGCAAGCGUUGUUCGGAUUUACUGGGCGUAAAGGGCGCGUAGGCGGCGCGGUAAGUCACUUGUGAAAUCUCUGAGCUUAACUCAGAACGGCCAAGUGAUACUGCUGUGCUAGAGUGCGGAAGAGGCAACCGGAAUUCUUGGUGUAGCGGUGAAAUGCGUAGAUACCAAGAGGAACACCUGAGGCGAAGGCGGGUUGCUGGGCCGACACUGACGCUGAUGCGCGAAAGCCAGGGGAGCAAACG